rnacentral:ncRNA from 1 species
AAAGUAGAGGCGCGUGUAUCAUCAGUAACGGAUCGGACAGAUAAGGCUGAGCGAGGGUUUGCGAAAGGGAUACAUGCCGAAGAGAGAUAUCUCCUUAUAGAUGUCUUAUCUGGACGUAUAGUUAAUAGCUAUAUGGCUGUCACCGGAGAUAUAUCAUAAAUUUUAUUCUUAAGGUGGAGUGCUACGG